rnacentral:lncRNA from 1 species
GCACCUUCCACUCUACAGGAGAGAAAUAGGCAGCCCAUGGUUCACAGAUAUAUCCAUUUUUGUGAGGGAGCCUGUGGCCAUACCAAGUCCCGAUCACCCACUCACUGAGGAAAUUAUUUCUUCAGAACAACUUGAAUGGACUGAGCAAGCAAUUUUCUCAGAAGUGUCCCCAUUCGAUGGAGAAGCUGAGCUAUUCUCUCUUUUUUUUUUUUUUUUUUUUUUUUUUUUUUGAGACAGAGUCUUGCUCUGUCACCAGGCUGGAGUACAGUGGCGCGAUCUCAGCUCACUGCAACCUCCAUCUUCCGGAUUCAAGAGAUUCUCCUGCCUUAGCCUCCUGAGUAGCUGGGACUACAGGCACGCACCACCACACCCGGCUAAUUUUUGUGUUUUUAGUAGAGACGGGAUUUCAUCAUGUUGGCCAGGCUGGUCUAAAUCUCCUGACCUCGUGAUCUGCCUGCCUUGGUCUCCCAAAGUGCUGGGAUUACAGGCGUGAGCCACCGCGCCCGGCUGAAGCUGGUGUUGACUCCACAGCCUCCUGCUGCUUCCCUUAUACCCCCUAGAAGAUCCCUCAAGAUUUUGCAGCAGACUGUUAUAAAACCUGCAGCCUGUGCUCUAAGCCCAGUGUUGUAUAAGGGCCAUUCCUCCUUCCCAUUCCUGGGGGAGACACUGGAGCAGCCCCCAUGGGUGUAAGGAGGUGGAUUGGACACCAUCCUGGGAAUACCCAGCUCUCUGGGCCCCUCACAGGCACAGAAGAGUCUCUGAGGUAUUUUCUGAACAGUCCAGGGUCAUCAGGGAGACAGGAGAGGCUGGCCAGGGGCAGAGGAAGAGAGAGGGAGGACAUGAUGGCAGGAGGGUGCUGACUGAAGAGAUUCUCAUGAGAUACUCUGGGAAACUGGAACCCUAAGGCAUGGGAGCUGAUUGCUGAGAAAGAGAGAGACUCUGAGAGGACAAGUCAGAAAGAGGGAUGGAGGGGCCACAAUGGGUCCAGAAAUUUCCCAGCUGGCUAGAUUCUUCUUAAUCUUCUGCCUUUCCCCAUAGCUUUCAGACUAAAAGAGGUCAGCUGGUCUGUGUCAACCCCAGAGAUGCUGAGUCCAGGAAUACAUCAAAACCCAGAGCUAAAUCUGAAUAGCCCAGAAAAAAAAAUUAAAUCCAUCAGUAGAUUGGGGAACAGGGAGCUGAGCCAGAAGAAUAGCACUUACAACCCCAGAAGCUACCUCCUUUAUGGUCUAGUCCCCCCAUAACCAAACCAAACUUAAAUUUUAAUUUAUUUCACUUUUAUUGUGUAUUUCCAAUUUUAAAUUGUUUUUAUUGAAUGUUUUCUCUAAGAAACCACAUAGUACACAGUGAUUCUAGAUGGUGCUGAAUGUUUGUGCUAAAUCC